rnacentral:rRNA from 1 species
GCGCGAAAACUUUACAAUGCUGGCAACAGCGAUAAGGGAACCUCGAGUGCCAGGUUACAAAUCUGGCUGUCGAGAUGCCUAAAAAGCAUUUCAUAGCAAGGGCCGGGCAAGACCGGUGCCAGCCGCCGCGGUAACACCGGCGGCUCGAGUGGUAACCGUUAUUAUUGGGUCUAAAGGGUCUGUAGCCGGCCGGAUAAGUCUCUUGAGAAAUCUGGCAGCUUAACUGUCAGGCUUUCAGGAGAUACUGUCUGGCUCGAGGCCGGGAGAGGUGAGAGGUACUUCAGGGGUAGGGGUGAAAUCUUGUAAUCGUUGAAGGACCACCAGUGGCGAAGGCGUCUCACCAGAACGGACCUGACGGCAAGGGACGAAAGCUAGGGGC